rnacentral:lncRNA from 1 species
AAGAAUGGAGUGCUCGAACGAAAAUUUUAGCAGAGUUUUUGGGAUAGAAAAUAGAGCUUAGAGAAUAACGUAUCUGGGGUCUCCCUUUUAUAGACGGGGGGAGCAAAGGAUUGAUAGCGACUGUUUAUGAUCGCCUCGUCGUGGGCCGUACGGGGCCAGGAGGAAUUUAUCAUGAAGAGUAAUGGGGUGGAGUCGUGGCUGUCACCAUGGCUCGCCACGUGGAAUCGGUUGCGG